rnacentral:rRNA from 1 species
UACAGGGGGAGCGAACGUUACUCGGAAUCACUGGGCAUAAAGGGCGCGUAGGCGGUCCUGUAAGUCGAUGCGAAAGACCUUGGCUCAACCAAGGAACGGCAUCCGAUACUGCGGGGCUUGAGGCCGAGAGGGGCAAGCGGAACUCCUGGUGGAGCGGUGAAAUGCGUAGAUAUCAGGAGGAACACCGGUGGCGAAGGCGGCUUGCUGGAUCGGUUCUGACGCUGAGGUGCGAAAGCGUGGGGAGCAAACAGG